CUGGUGUGGAUGAGUGGCGAACGGGUGAGUAAUACGUGAGUAACCUGCCCUUGACUCUGGGAUAAGCCCGGGAAACUGGGUCUAAUACUGGAUGCUACAUGUCACCGCAUGGUGGUGUGUGGAAAGGGUUUACUGGUCUUGGAUGGGCUCACGGCCUAUCAGCUUGUUGGUGAGGUAAUGGCUCACCAAGGCGACGACGGGUAGCCGGCCUGAGAGGGUGACCGGCCACACUGGGACUGAGACACGGCCCAGACUCCUACGGGAGGCAGCAGUGGGGAAUAUUGCACAAUGGGCGAAAGCCUGAUGCAGCGACGCCGCGUGAGGGAUGACGGCCUUCGGGUUGUAAACCUCUUUCAGCAGGGAAGAAGCCACAAGUGACGGUACCUGCAGAAGAAGCGCCGGCUAACUACGUGCCAGCAGCCGCGGUAAUACGUAGGGCGCAAGCGUUGUCCGGAAUUAUUGGGCGUAAAGAGCUCGUAGGCGGUUUGUCGCGUCUGCUGUGAAAGCCCGGGGCUUAACCCCGGGUGUGCAGUGGGUACGGGCAGACUAGAGUGC
rnacentral:rRNA from 1 species